AGCGAACGCUGGCGGCAGGCCUAACACAUGCAAGUCGAACGGUAACAGGGUGCUUGCACCGCUGACGAGUGGCGAACGGGUGAGUAAUACAUCGGAAUGUACCCAGUAAUGGGGGAUAACGCUUCGAAAGGAGUGCUAAUACCGCAUACGCCCUGAGGGGGAAAGUGGGGGACCGCAAGGCCUCACGUUAUUGGAGCAGCCGAUGGCUUAUUAGCUAGUUGGUGAGGUAAAGGCUCACCAAGGCGACGAUCAGUAGCGGGUCUUAGAGGACGAUCCGCCACACUGGAACUGAGACACGGUCCAGACUCCUACGGGAGGCAGCAGUGGGGAAUCUUGGACAAUGGGCGAAAGCCUGAUCCAGCAAUGCCGCGUGCGUGAAGAAGGCCUUCGGGUUGUAAAGCGCUUUUGUCUGGGAGCAAAUCCUGGCCUCUAAUACAGGUCGGGGAUGAGAGUACCAGAAGAAUAAGGACCGGCUAACUACGUGCCAGCAGCCGCAGUAAAAC
rnacentral:rRNA from 1 species